UUUAAAUUUAUAAUAUGACAGCCGCAAAGAAAACUUUGCCUCUCUCUUCCCUCUCUUCUCUACUUUCUGUCGCAAAACUUUGUGAAAGCUAAUUGCAUGUUUUCGUAAUUGUUAAUUUAUGAUAUUGUUAAUUUAUACAUAAAUUUCUACAUCAAAGGCAAGUACCUGUGCGAUGUUUCUGAUGUCCCGGUGAUAAAUAUGCACUACGUUUAUGCAUUAUAAACUAUACAAGGCUAUCUUCUGUCAUACAAAGAUAAUUAAAGGGAGACCUAGAAAGUUGUAAUUACAUGACGAACGAUCGACGAUUCAACCGAAAGAAGUUUAAAUUGCACAUGAUAUAUUAUGCACGCCAGUGUAUGGUGCUACUGGUAAAAAUGAUAAAUGGAUAAGCAGAUCAUCGAUGGAAUGACAAGGUGCAGUAUUAUCAAAUAUUUCAGGCCGAUAGAACAGAACGUUCGCGAGCCUCUCUAUCGAUGAAAAGCACAACGUUGACUAUUAAAAUAUCGUUUUAAGCGAUAGUGGACUAAUAAUAAUAGUAGAUAGUAGAUUAAUAGUAAAGAAGUUAUUAAAAAAAUUAGAUAUUUGAUCAACUACAUAUUUUCGUUGCAGCUGACUUUCAAUUCGUUCCACGUGACAAAUGGAACAUCCGUAUUACAUUUUACAUAGCUGUAACGUAUUAAUUUAUCCAGGACAGUUACGUAUCUGUAUUAUUGUAUAUUAUUAUUAAGAAUUAAACGUAAAGAAAUCUUCCAUAAAUAAAGGGGAUUUAUGGAAAAAUUUAUGGAAACAAAUUUAUGAAGAGAAAUUCUUUCUAAUAACUGGUUAUUGUGUCUGUUAGUCGUUAUUAUGACUGUGCAAUGAUAAGAUGAAGUGAGAUAUACGCGAGAACACAGCUCAGAGAACCUAUCUAUAAUUACGAAUUAAUUACGUGUCAUAUAUUCUUGUUCUUACUAGCGAAAAUAAUUAGUUAGCCAACGGAAUGGAUUUUCGAGACUUGAAUCCUUUCAACAUAUUUUUAAGUACGCUUUCGGCGAAUGUUUUGCCGAUGUCGAGUAAAGAAACGAAAUUACCCAUCUUUUUAAAAAUCUACUCGAUCGUCAUUUGGUUAAUAGAACUGACAUAUUUUAUUGUUUGUGUUGUCGGAAUUUUGACUGUAUCGAGGGAAAAAGCACUGAAGGAUGGAACGGUAAACCUUGUGAUCGCGAUAGAAGUGCUCGUGCUAAUGAUUUAUAUGCAUAAUCGUAAGAAUUUACUACGUGGAUUAAUUGGAAAAUUAAACCAUCUCAUCGAGGGCAAUAAAAUACUUCGGAAUAUGAUAGUUAACGCACUGGAACCAAUGGAAAAGCCGUUGAAAAUUUAUACGGUUGCCAGUGUUGGUUCGCUCGCUCUUUGGAUAUCAUUGCCGCUUAUCGAAGUUUUCCGGAAGAAUGAGUUCCGUUAUUCGGAUUAUCGAGUGCCAUUCGUUCUAUCCAAGGAACCUUUCCCACUCAACGUUUUCGUUGGCGGUGUCAUCUUCCAGGUAGUCGGCGGUACAUACACGCUAAUCAGAAAAAUUAGUUUGGAUAUCUACACAAUGUACAUCAUUCUGUUAACGACGGCUCAAUACAAGUAUCUUCGAAUGAAAUUUGCGACGAUAUUCGAACAGAAACCCGAAACUUUAAACGAUAUUACCCGGCAGAAUGUCUCCCUUAGGAACAAACGGAUGAUCCAGGAAAUGAGACUGUUGACCCGCCAUUACGAAACUGUAGUUGAGAUUGCUGUUACGUUGAAGAAAUUGCUUUUUCUAAACGUCGGAGUUCAUUACAUAAACAACGUUUUCCGGUUCUGCUUUCUAAGUUUUAUGUUCGUAAUGGUAUAUUUUAAGUUCCAACUUUUUAAUACAGAAUUUUGUUUCCUAGCAAAUUCUGCUUCUCCUGUUACUGCUUAUCUUGUACAGAGAACAACUAUUUAUUUUUUCAGAGUACUAAUAUGUUUUCCGAAAAAUGUUUAGUUAUAUUGUAUACAAUUGGUGCGCUGAUACAAUUUUAUAUAUUGUGCUACUCUAUUCAAGAGCUACUCGACGCGUAAUGGCAAUGCGAUAAACAAGAAAGGCUCUAUACACAUACAUAAGCAUUAAAUUUAUAUACAUCCAUGAAUUUUAAUAAUAUCACGUGUACAAACGAAUAACCAAAAUUUUGUUUAAACGUAAAAACAUUGACAGUAAAAUGAAAUGGUUCCUACGCCCUUUUUUUCGCUGCGUAUUGUUAAUAUCUUACUAUUGAAAACGACACUUUAUUUGUCGAUAAUGGAAGAAACAACGGAAGAAAGUGCAUAUUUGUCGCUGUAUCUUUCAUAAAUUCUCACAAGGAAAAAAAUGCUGAAUAAAACAUGCGAUUUGAUUUGUAACUUUCUCGGUGGAGAUAUUGUAUCGUACGAUGAGUGUGCGUUUUGGUUUAAACGGUUUGAGAAGCGGCGUCUUCUGUCACGAAAGUGCGAUCACGACGAUUUUAAAAACAACUACUGACUCAGAGUUCAAUAUAAACGCAAAAGCAGCUUGCGGAGCUUUUGUGAAAGGUAAUACAGCAAAUUAUUCGAAUCACCUGCACGAAGUGGAAAAGAUCCAGAGAAAAGAGAGGUGGGAGUCCUAUAGGAUUGCCGCGUGAUAGCGCCAGCAGACCUUAGAGGUUGCUUUUGAUGCAAAAGACAUCGCAACGAGUCUCAGAUGGGAAGUUACGCAAUAUCUGGUAUAUUCAGCUGACAUUGCUCCAUCAAACUAACAAACACCUGUUUCGGUCGAUGUAGCCAUAAAAAUAAACCAUUUGAUGAAAUAUAAAGAUAGCUGGACAACUUCAUCGUAUCAAAAGGCAUAUUCUUUCAAAGUGGAAUUGCCCGAAAUACGACUUAAAGUUAUAGAAAACGAUGGUGGUUAUUUCGAUCGGAAAAUUUGUCUCACUCUUUUUAAUCUUGAACCUUUAAAUCUUGAAUCUGUGAAAAAAUUGAAUUAUUCAUUUGUACACCUAAUAUAGUUUGUGUAAUAAGAUUAAUAUAUUUACACGUACUAAUGCCUUAUAUAUACAUAUAUAAUUGUACAACGUACUAAUAUCCAUCCGAAAUUCUUAGAGCAACGCUGUAGCUGACGAUGUAAUAUAUGAAAAGUGGUA